rnacentral:sRNA from 1 species
ACGUGGCCGGGGUGGGGGUGGGGCGAGGAGGAGGAAUGUAGAAAAACAACAAGAUGGCGCCGCGGGGGAGGGGCGCGUGUCGCCAGCGCCCUUGGAGCCCCGGGCAUCCGGAAGGGCGGAGUGGAAGGGCUGGUCAGACCCCUGCGUGCUGGGCGUAGCCGGCUUCCGCCUGUUAGGGUGGCCGCGUGGACAGUCCUAGGGUGCGGUCGCCGGCUCUGCGGUCACGAGACCUCUGGCCCUGGUCCAGGACACGCUUUGAGCCUGCGCCGCGUCUUUUCUUUGCAGCCUCUGUAUUGUCUUUCUCCUCUGUGCGUGCUCGUCCUCCAAAGGAGCGAUUAGAUCAGGGCGAGGCCAACUGAGAGCUAAAGAAAGGCUGAUCUCGGACCCUGCGGGUAUCUGCAGGGUUAAGGAACGAACCUGCUGGGAAGCGGCCAGCACCCCACCCCUACCCACCCCAGAGCGCUUCGGGACGUUUUCACCAGUAUGCGCUGCCAGGGUCGCGGAAUCCAAACUUUUUUGCUUUUGUUAAAGAAAAAAAAAGGGAAAGAAUGGAAAAGAAAAGUCUGAAAGUCUGUUUUUCUGUGUAUUAAAAUGUAGGGAAAUUAGGCCGAAUUGUCUAGUAUUCUCGAGUUGGCACGAAAGCCUGAAGCCUCCCUUUCAUGCCCAAAUCCUUCCAACUCUACUUGCCCCAGCCCAUUCCCGACCACCGUUCUUGUUUUAUAUGGGUCUGAGACAACAGCUGUUGGGAGUUUUGUUUUUAAAAUAAAAAGUUAACACACAUUAUUCUGAAUGUGAUGGCAUGUUUGGAAUAAGGCAUUUGUCACCUUGGGAUUUGAAAGAUUUUUAGAAUAGGUUUCAGAUUCUUUCCCGUAUUUGCGAAUUAUGAGGACUUUGACCUAUUUCGAGGGAUACGACCCCUCCCCUUUAAACAACACCUGGCUCCCAAAGUCCUUAGACGUUUAAUUAAUAAAUAUUUUGGAUAAAAUGAGGAACUAUUAUAAUGUAAGUUGGGAGAGAAGGGAUUACUUUAUGAUAAAUCUUAAAGUUUGUGAUCAAAACAGCGUUGAUAUUAAGUGAUAAACUAUAAAUGAAUGUGUUCUAUGACUAAAGGGGGGUACGGGGGUGGGCGGAGCCCAAGCUUAAAUGUGCAGUUUUGACCAAGGAGUUUGGGGACCUACUUCACUCCACUCCUUAGGUUUUGUGUUCUUUCGAAUUGUGUUGGCAGGCGUUCCCGAAUGCACUGGAGACCUCCGAGGAACCAAAACACUGCAUAAUGAUUUCCAGCCACCAUUAGCGCCGAGCGCUGCAGCGGAAUUUCGAAGGGCUUGAAUUCUGAAACACAAAGGACUGUAAUCUUUCCUCUCCUUGGCCUAAGGAAAGAAUACAGCUUUAUCCGUAUUCUUCUUCGUCCGCAUGGUUCAGACAGAAUCGCCGACAACUCUCUUUACAGUUGUUAGACAUGAACGGUUCUCUGACUUUAAAGUUUUGUCUCCAGAAUUUCGUUAGCAUAGACUUCCUGAUAUAAGACGUGUCUGUGACUUUUUAAUGAAAUAUUAUAGCAAAUUUAAAAGAAAAUUUAAAGAAGCCAUCUUCCAAUAAAUAGUUCAAAUAGCUUUUAGCCUUCAGCACAGAUUAGAUUUCUUUGGAAGAUAAACACUGCGUGUGGAAUCUGGUACCUCCUUUACUACCUUUCUUUUAAAAUGUUUCGGGACUGGGGAAUGUGGUUAAAUGAGAUCUUAGGAUCAAUCCUGAGCCCCCACAUAACCCUCUCCCAAAAAGCUUUAUUUCAAAUGCUGAAUAAAAGAACAUGAAAUCUACACCGAAAAAUAUCAUCUGGAAUGCCACUCGCUAGAAUAACCACCGGUAGACAAAUUGUCUAGUUGCUUACAUGAUGUACAUAUAGCUUUGUAGUCAACAUUUUGUACUGCCGCAUAAAAUGUACGUUUUCUUAUGUCAGUAAGAAUCUUCAAGAUUUAUAGUCGGGGUUGGUGGCACGUACACACAGUCCCAACACUUGGGAAGUGAAGGCAAGAGAAGUUCUCGGAGUUAGAGAUGAGCCUGGGCUUCAUUAUAGAAAUUCAGUCUUUAAAGGGGUGCAGGGUCAGCUGGUAAAGCACUUGCUGGCUGCGAGCCUGUUCACCCGAGUGCGAGCUCCAAACAGACCGUAUAGGUAGGAGAAAAGGAGAGCAUCCACUGUAUGAACUUGUUCGCAGACCUCCGGGCUCUUGCUAUGCCCACUCCUGCAUGCCCACUUAGUCCCAUAAAACUUAAAACAAAUGAUUUUUGAUUCUUCAAUAUUUUAGAAUCUACAUAGUGUUAUAACAGAUAAAUAUAAUGAACCAUUAGCCAUUCUUUUACUAACGGAUGCUGAUUUUUGUUUACUCUUUUUUUUUUUUUUUUUUUUGGACACUGCUGUACAAAAAGUGUUUCGUUGUUGAUUUUUUGGUGGUUUUGUUUAUUUUGAGGCAAAAUCUCAUUGCAAUGCCCUAGUUGACCUACAUAGAAUUCCCUGUAUAGGCCAGGCUGGUCUUGAAAUGACAGAAAUCUGCCUGCCUUUGCCUCCCUAGUGCUAGGAUUGCAGCUUAACACACCACACUGGACAGAAAGAGACAUUGUAUUGUUGUUGUUGUUGUUUCUAUAAACACAGUUCACAAUGUAUCUGACUUUUUUUUUUAAACUCUAAACAUUUUAAUUCCAAAUUGUACAGUUAAUUGUAUUGCAUCUAGAACCUUCCAGUUACAGUAUAUCAUUAACCCACUGUUUACUGCUCCAAAGGCAGCAGGACCUGGGAGAAAGAAGCCUAAAAAGGGGGUGGAUUAGAGUCUCAUGCACUAGCCGAUUUUAUUCAGAGUAUUCGACAAUUUAUAUUCCUAAGGGCUGAGAGAAAUCUCAUGAGUAAAGCAUAGAAUCACAAGGACAAGCUGCAUGAAGCAGACGCAGGCUUAUCCUUAGAGGCAUAUAAAGACACUAGCCCUGGUAAUGAAUGAUCUGAGGUGAACUCACUCCUAUCCACUGUACCUGGGAAAGACAUAAAAGCACAUUCCAAGAACAGUUCUGUGGUUUUGAAGAAACUGAGGUCAUAAGACCUUUUGUUUCCUUGGAGUUUUCUCAUAAGCACUCAGGGCUCUCCUCACAGGACUCUAUUGAUGGGCCAUGUUUUCAGCAACCCACCUAGGUCAAAUCUUAGCACUGGCUUUCCUUUAUCCUUCUAUGAGAUGCUCACUGUUUAUUCUGUUGUUCUCUUUACCAAAUGAAAGUCAUGAAUAUUCGAUAUCUUUCUAAGAAAUACAGGCUGGGGAUGUUAAUUUCAAGCUGAGUGUUUUGAAAGGACUGUUCACUGUCACCUUAAUAAUCACACAGAGACUCCUUUUCCUGUCAUUUCUACGUAUGGACGUGUGUAAAAGACAGUCGUUGCCACUGAAGUUUCCAAUCUGGAGAAAGGGGCAGGAAAGAUGGCUGUCUUCAAAGAUAGUUAAAGACCUGAAUAGUUCUGAAGUUUUCCUUCCAGGCACUUGUUUAUGGUGCUUGCCACAAUCUCCUUUUCUCUUUAAAAAUGAUUCAGAGAACACAGAGCUCCUGAAGAAUGAAACAAAGGCAUGAAUAAUAAAGAGCCAAUUGGCAGACA